UACGUAGGUGGCAAGCGUUGUCCGGAUUUAUUGGGCGUAAAGCGAGCGCAGGCGGAAAGAUAAGUCUGAUGUGAAAGCCCCCGGCUUAACCGAGGAAUUGCAUCAGAAACUGUUGAACUUGAGUGCAGAAGAGGAGAGUGGAACUCCAUGUGUAGCGGUGGAAUGCGUAGAUAUAUGGAAGAACACCAGUGGCGAAAGCGGCUCUCUGGUCUGUAACUGACGCUGAGGUUCGAAAGCGUGGGUAGCAAACAGG
rnacentral:rRNA from 1 species